UCGCUAUUGACUGACUGUAGUUCUUUUGAAUUUCAGCUUUGUAGAUGUGGUUUAGCGUCCAGUAUAUUGGUUCUUGGGUUGGCAUGCGUGUACAUAUACUCUUUAUGACUUAUAAAGUUUUCUUUUUUUGCAGUUUUCGAUUUAGUAGCUAUAGCUAUAGUGUUGAAACUUUGAAAUUCGUUGAUAACCCAGUGACCUAUUUAGACGCGCACAAAAGUGAACUCCUUUCGACCCAAUCCUAUAACUUUCUAAUAAUGUUCAUUAGAAAUCUUGAAUUGCCAGGAAGUUGAGUCAGGUUUAAUGGAGUACAAGCCAAACAUUAUCAUUAGUGCUAUUGUCCUUCAGAAGAGGUGUCAAAGCCUAGAACCAAACCAAGUAUGCGUUUUUUAUUUGCCUGUUCGGCCCUCUUUUGCCUGUGUUGUUCUCAACAAGCUUGCCACUUUUUCCUUAGAGUCAAAGUCAAUAUUUACCAACCGUCCAGCACUUCUGUGACUGUCAAAUAAUCAUAUACCAUUCAUAUAUCUUCACUUUUUAGGUCACGGUUGUCUUAAGUGUUACAAAUUAGAUAUUUUAAGCAACUCUAAAAAAUAUUUGAUUCUAUCAGCCAUAUGAUACACAUAAUUUAUUAAAUUACAAUACGAACUUUAUCUUUUUUUCUUCUUUUAUUAAUUAAUUGUUGAGGACAAUUUAGGGAAGUACAAGUGGACAACAUAUUUGGUCAGCACUCAGCAUGAUGAAUGAGUUCACAAAGCUUUUCUGUAUGUGGGAUGUGGAUGGUUGCUUUGUAGAAUGACUUACGAGUAGAGCUAGAAUUGGAUCUGGUACUACCUGCAGUUUUGUUAAUGGGAAGUGAAUUAGGUCAACUUUCUCAGCUGAAUCCCGUGGGCCAGAGUUGAAGCGUAUGUAAGCAGACAAGAUUCGUAUUGAGAGCUUAGUUCAUAUUAUACCUAACAAAGCUAGCAACACAUUGAGCAUCAUUGAUGGUGGAGGUGGAACGCCAAGGCUGGUGAGUAACAAAAAAAAUUGUUGGCUAUACAUAGCUUUCUUUAUGUAUUUGAAUAUUGUGAAAGCAAGGCUCUAAUGUUGCCAUGGCAUUACCUUCA